rfam:Ciona savignyi cont_31835, whole genome shotgun sequence.
GCCCGAUUAGCUCAGCCGGUAGAGUGUUGGACUUUUAAUCCAACGGUCAAGGAGCAAGUCCCUUAUCCGGAU